CAGCAACAACAACUACAACCAGCAAUCGUUGCUGCUGGCAAACGCAACAAACUUUAUCGAGGUACGCAGUUUGAAGAUUGAUAUGCUCUAUUAAAAUACCCAUUUUGUUGAGGAAUUGCAAUCUAAAAGAUGUGUAAAUAUUUAAUUUGUAAUUGUCCUUUACCCGCCAAAGGCACAUUCUAAAUUUAUAUGUCUGGCAUUACUAUUUUUUCUAUUAUAUUCUGUUGCCAAGCGAAUGUUUGUUCCAAUUAAAAUAUAUAUAUUUAUAUAUCUGUA